ACGCUGCCAUCUUGUUAAUUUACGUCUGUCACGUCAUUUUCAUGGGAGGUUACUCGAGUGCAAAUCUAGACACUAAAAAAGGUUAUUCGCCGGUGAAUAAUAGGGUUAUUCACCGCUGGUGUAAAUUUUAAGGGUUAUUCGUCCUCCUUGCAAUUAAAUGAAAAUUAACCGAAUUAUUCCAUGUCACGUGAUAAGUUGUUAUCCAAUAGAAUUGUUUGUAAUAUAUGUAAGGUAUAAUAAU
rnacentral:lncRNA from 1 species